rnacentral:tRNA from 2 species
GGAGAGAUGGCCGAGUAGGCUGAAGGCGCUCGCCUGCUAAGCGAGUGUGUGGCGAAAGUUGCACCCAGGGUUCGAAUCCCUGUCUCUCCGCCA